AUGUCUCCUGGCAAUUACCUCUACCUGGGACCCAAAGCAGUUUGCAUGACCACUAAAGGGUUAGCUGAUAGCUGUGAUUGGCCAUUGAGAAGAGGGAGGAGUAAUGACUUCAAUGACCCCAGAAGAUUCCAGAGCAGAGAACAGCAGCAGUCUGGCUUUGUUCUUUGGUACCAAGUGCCCCCGUCAACCACUGCAAUGCAGAGAUGGUACAGUGGAGAAUCCUGAUGCUUGGUAAGGGCACUGUCACUACUUUUAUCUUCUUGAUUUUUUAAAAAUGUCUUUAAUAAUGUAUUAUAUUUAUAAUAAAAAAUAAAAAGUAGCACAUGUCUAUAAUAAUUAAGAAAAAGAUCUUAUCCAAAUUGCUAAAACAUAAUCCUAUACAUUCAGAAUUCCCACUGUCUGCUGGACAGCAACAGGUCUCUCAGUAAGGAAGGGUGAUUUCAUCUGCCUGCAUAUGCUGAGGCAGCACAGUAGAGAAAUACCAGUAGUCUAUCUGUUCCAAGUGUUUAAUAACAGAAUAAGUGUUUCUAUAGAGCCAUUAUGAGUCAAAGCCAGAAUUUUAAAAAUUUAUUUAUUUAUUUACUUUUAGAAAACAACAUACAAAUAACUAAAACUUGUGUAUCCAGCAGAGAUAUAUGCUGUGAACAGUGUGACUGAAUCACUAGGAACUUUGCCUAGAGAGGGCUCAUUUGUGUAAGUGCUGCAAAAAUUUUAUCACCUAUUUCUCUUUUCUUAAAACAACAACAACAACAACAAAAAAAAAACCCCAACGUUGAUGGAGGCAUCUGAGUUUAUUUCAAUAUAGUUUUAAAUACUUAUAAAAUCACUCUACCUCAACACUAUUUGUUGGUGGUGCUAGUAGCAGUCGUAGAGGUGUGGCGUGAGGGUGAUUCUUGACAGCUCACUGAAAUCCGUGUGAUGAAUGAAUAGAACAAUAGAUGGG
rnacentral:lncRNA from 1 species